rnacentral:rRNA from 1 species
GACAGAGGGUGCAAACGUUGCUCGGAAUUACUGGGCGUAAAGGGCGUGUAGGCGGGAAGGCAAGUCGGGCGUGAAAUCCCUAGGCUCAACCUAGGAACUGCACUCGAAACUGCCUUUCUUGAGUGUCGGAGAGGAAAGCGGAAUUCCUGGUGUAGAGGUGAAAUUCGUAGAUAUCAGGAGGAACACCAGUGGCGAAGGCGGCUUUCUGGACGAUGACUGACGCUGAGACGCGAAAGCGUGGGGAGCAAACAGG